GCUUAGGUUGAUCGAGCCAUAUUCAGAUCUGGACAUUCGUUUGUUGGAUGCACUUGAUACAGUCAUGUUAAUGGUUGAACCUAACCAGUAUUUUCAGUGGAGGUGCCACACACCUGCUAAAGAGAUGCCUGAGAUAUAAUCUAAUUGCUGGAAGUUGUUUGAAGAAAUAAUUAUCUAUGAACCUACCCAUAGAUGCAUUAGGGUUGGCUGAGCCACAC
rnacentral:lncRNA from 1 species